rnacentral:sRNA from 1 species
AAAACUAAAGGAUAAAAGCUGGAUCCCUUGGACAAACCCAAAGUGAUCUAUUUAUACUAAAAUGUUGAAAACCCUAGAUUCACUAGAGGACAAGAUACUUGAGGCGGUUUGGGCGAAUGCUCGAUCUUGGGGAUCGAGUAAUGAGGGUGCGGCAAAGUUUGCGCCUUUGUGUCUAUGCUCCGAGUGAUCAAUUGGUCGAGUAGAUGCUUCUUCCUCUCCUAUCUGUAUGCUCAGAUGUCUGGUUGAGUGGGGAAUGAGGAGGAUCCGAAGAUGCUUUGAUAGAUCAACAAGUCUUGUAGAGUUGGUCACCCUUGGUCGAGUAAAUCGGUCGAGUAGAGGAUCGAGUAGGAGGGGCGAGUAGAUCAAUCUGCUGUUUCAUCUGAGGUUGCCUUGAUCGAGUAAGAGGGUCGAGUAAACUGCAGCCUCCUCUAUAGCUGCCUAGAUCGAGUGGAUGGGUCGAGUAGAGUCCUUUUUACCUCCUUCUACACUUGAAAACACACCAAAACAUGCAAUGCGUAUGCAAGAUGAUCCUAGAUGCCUAAGUAUGCAAAAUAAGCUAAAAUGGUGCAAAAUGAUAUGAUACAAUGAGCAAAUGCAAAGCUAAAUGAUGAUAAAUACACACCUAAAAUGAGUAAAAUACAGUGUUAUCAUGGAGUCAAGAAAGAGUCAGUUAGGCGAGGUGGACAUGUAGAGAAGAACAAAGAAGUUGCUGUUGUAAAUAAAUAUGACGGAGACACUAUAGAGAUGUUGAAGAAAUUCAUUGUGGAGCAACAAAAAAAACCCAGCAAGCACGUUGAAGAGAGAGAUGGUUCAGUUAUUCGAGGGUUUGAUCAAAUGUGACUGUGGUGGACUGCGAUCUACAAAAGCCAGCACAAUGGAGAAGAAACAGGAAGAAGGGAAAGACAACACUACAAUGGAACCAAAGGAUGAUGGAAAAGACAAUACCCCAAUGGAGUAGAAUCAGGAAGGCGACAAUUCUGAUGUUGAGGUCACUACCUUAGAGACUGGUUCCACGUCGAGAGGCAAGAAGAAGAGGAAAAGGACUGAAGAGGAAGGAGAGGGGUUUGCUCUCUAUGAGAGAAACAGAUGGGACGAGGCUUACAAAGGUGUGGAAGACAUCAUUGAUAAUGUAGAUCUUGCAUGUCACCAAGAGACAACAAAAGGCAAUAGUUCCCAGGUAAAAAACUGUGUUAUUUGUUUGGUGUACAAUUAUAUUGUUUUGUGUACUACUUGACUGGUUAUAUUAAUUGGUGUACAACAAAAU